UUGUCCACAGUAGGUUCUGUGAUGAAUGAUAUGUGCACAACUUAAUCAUCGGUCUUAUCAGACGGUUUCACUGUGCAGCAAAGUACAGAAGAGUUUGGAGGGAGAGGAUUAAGAAUUUAGCAAAAAUAUUUUUUGAUGACAGUUUGAUGGUAAAAUAUGAGAGGACGUUUUACAAGUGUCAAACAAGACUAUUUAAGCACCUGAAACACUUUUUAACUCCAACCAUUUCUUCACAGAACUCUUGGUUGGUCACCCACACAAGGGCCACAGAGCUCCUGUGGCACAGAAUCAAGGAAGUCUCACUCUGGACUCGGACACUGUCAGUCCUUUCCUCGGACUGUCCCCUGACCUCCAAUCAGUGGAAAGACUGAAAACCAAGCUAAACUAUCCCAGUCACAAAGACCGCUUUGAUGAAGCCCCCCAGGUCCUCUCCACCCACUGCUUCUCCACAGGUACCCACAUGUGGGAGGUAGAGGCUGAGGGAUACUGGGACAUCGCUGUAUCCUACGGAAGCAUCCAACGGAAGAGCAAAGACAGCAGUGCUUUUGGAAACAACGCAGAAUCCUGGAGCCUGACGCACAAUGACAAAGGCAAGCUGUUUGCCUACCAUGACAAAGUAAAACAAGUUCUUUCUGCAGACCUGCAGAGCAACAGAAUAACAGUGAAGGUUAGUUUUGAGAUGGGGAGCAUCCUGUUCAGUACAGCGGGCCCUGAGGCAACCAGUCUGCAUGAGUUCAAGGUGACAUUGACUGAACCCGUCUGCCUGGGUUUUGGCCUUUACCGUGUGGAUCCCCCCAGCAGAGCAUCUAUUAUCAAAACCUGGUGAAUGGUCAUCCUAUGACAUCUAUACAAUCUGGAUGUUGUAGGACAAUCUUCAUCUGAGCUACAGCACAAAUGUGAAAGAGAUAUGGAGUGAAAAUCAGUUGUGUAGUCCUUUGAGACAUCCUGCUAAUGAAUCCUGAUGAACACAUAACCUUGACAAAAAAAAAAACUUUUGGGACUGGUCCAAACAAGCUGGUCAUGAAGAACUUGACCAUAUCAAAAGGUGGAAUGUUUGCAUUGCAAUAUUACUUUGUCUGAGAUAUAUAUUUUUGUAAAGUGUAAAUUAAGUUAAUUUUUAAUGUGGCUCAGGGUUGCUGGUUUGAGUCCAAGCUACUUCUUUGUAUGUCAGUGUUGUUGAGCAACACACUGAACCAGUGCGCUAAGGUUUAACGCCUUAUGUGGACGUUUCUGACAUAGGCGCUUGAGUGCAUAUUUGCACUAUACAGUAUUUUACGUACGCCUUCAUAGAAACUGAAAUGCCCUGAGCUGCUCUGGUAAUUAUUUGUUAAUUGUAUUUGCCAAAUAACAUG